AAGUAAUCUCACAUUUAAUUCUCAUCAAGCUUAUAGUGGCAUCUACAUAAAUGAACAUGUUCUGAGUGAAAAUACAACAGCUGCUAGUCCGUUUUUCUUAAACAAUAAACCACCUUUUCUUGCCACGGGCCGUCAGCGCCCAAAUGCUGGAUGUGUGUGUUGCUGCGUUCAUUACAUAGAGUAUGUACUCUCUUUCCAUGUGAACCCCCCCGCCCCCGACAAGCACACGCGUUCUUGUUUAACAAGAGUCAUGUCUCGUGGCCAGAAGAUGCCGAGAAAUGUCACGCCCUCAGCUUGCAGUGGCCUGAAGGAGGAAAUGGGAAGCUUCAGGCUUCGGACCCCUGGCUCACAUCCCUGCGUUCCCAAGCACGAGGGCAAGUUCUGGAAGUCCUCGCGCGAGGGCCCUGCAGCCCUGGCCCAGCUGGUGUGCGGGCGGCGGCAGUAGGGAGGGUGGAGGAGGCGCUGCAGCCCCGUCUGCACAGGGCACCGCCAGGGCCAGCGGGGCGAGGGAGCCGGGCUCUGGGCUGAACGCUAGCACUUGCCGCAGAAACAGCUGAGGGUUCUCUGGCGGUGGUGGCGGUGGGCAGGGUGGGGCUUCCAGCUCCCUCCCUCCGUCUAGGCGUCUAAGCCUCUACACUGCGGCGAGUUCCAAGGAUGCCUACUUCGCAGCUAAAAAGGAAGUCCACCCAGGGCUCACGGCCGUCAGAUGCUACAUUGCAUGCCUUUUAAGAUCUCAAAAGUGGAUGACAGGACGGGGGCACCCCCGAACGCAGGGGUGUGCGUGGUGAAGGAGAGGGCUCGGAAGCAGCGUGAGCCGCCGAACAGGUCUCUCCGCCGUGAUGGGCCCGGGGGAGAGACCCGCCUGCGGGGCCCGACACCCUCGUGGAUGGAUCACACGACGAGGUAAACCAUUUUCUUCCCGUUGAUGUUUCUGGUCUUCAGGCCCAGGUACCGGCGGCUGUUCCUCUCGGGCUGCCCGUACACCAUGUCGACAAAGAACUCGGAUUCCUGCCUCGGCUUGGCUGGGGCGCUGCGGAGGCCAAACGUGCUCCUUAGCCUGUAGCACAGGUAAGCCAUGGCUUCCGCUUCUUCCGAGGGCUCCUCGUACACCGGCUGCUUCAUCUCCUCGUAGGCGGACAGGAUCACGGCCUGGAACAGGUUGAUGAGGACGCAGACCAUCACCAGCGUGAAGGACAAGAGGAAGAGCACCCCCAUCGCCCGGCUGUGGGCAAACUCGGUGUUCUGGAAGGCCGAGACGCAGUAGGAGAACACGGUCUGCGUGGCGUGGGUCAUGUCGCUGUAGUUCCACUCGUGCUGCCCGAACACCAGGUAGCCGAAGGCCAUGAACACGAAGAAGUACACGGACACCACCAAGGCCAUGUGGCAGAUGCCGGGCAGGGCGAUCUGGAUGGCCCGCUGAGCCAGACGCACGUCGUAGAAGAGCCUGGAGUAGCGCAGGGUCUUCAGGAUGGUCAGGAAUAUCAGGACCCCCAAGACCACCUUCAGGGUGUGGUCCACCUGCGACACGGCGUGGAAAGGGACGAAAUCCUCAGGGCGCGACAGGUAGGAGCGGGUGAGGCCCGCGGCCAGGAAGUGUUUCCUCAGAAAGAGCACGAUCAGGAGGGCGAAGGAGCACUUGAAGGCGAAGUUGAGCAGGUUGUACAGGUAGACCUCGGCCGAGGCGCCCCUGUCGAGGUUGGCCAGCGAGAAGGAGCGCGCCGACAGGCUCGUGUUCACCACCCCCAGCUGGGAGACCUCGAAGGCCACCAAGACGCUGCAGAACAGGUGGACGUCGGCGUUGUAGGUGGUGAGCUCCACAAGGACCGCCCACGUCUUCUCAUCCAGCCAGUGGUUCCCCUGGAGUUCGCUGAGCCUCAAGGAGGAAUUGGACGGCUGCUCUUUGGGGAAGAAAUAGAACGCGUACCCCCCUGACCCGUAGGUGUGCAGCAGCCCGUGGGAGGCGUACCUCCAUCUCUUUUCUGGAGGCUUGUAGGUGAAGCCGUGGGCGUUCUCGGCGACGGCCCGCUUGCUAACUCGACUCCACGACCCCGCGUAGCUUCUGGUGUCCUCGGGGUCGGUGCCGUACUGGGGGUGACAGUGGAUCUCUUUGUGGAGGCUGUUCUGCAUGAAGUUUUUGGCAGGCGGGCAGGUUUUGUUUCCGGGCUGAGCCCUCACCUGCCUCAUCAGCGGCAGGCCGAGGAUUUGGGAGGAGCUGUCCGGGAGGAAGCGGGGGCGCGCGUCGUUGUGCAGCAGAGGCAACAGCACCCUGUUCAGCCACGGAUAGACGUCGCCAGCUUGGUCACCGUCGCAAGAUCCACGGAGAACUGGUCCUGGAUGAACUGAUUAUAGUAAAAGCUGUCCCGGUGGCGGAGGAGGGCCACCAGGACCAGCAGGAGAGCCAGAAAGACGAAGUGAGUGAGAAUGUAGCCCAGGAAGAGGAAGGCCCUCCUCUUGACCCUCCUCUUCCUCUUGAAGAGUCCGAUUUCGUCCUCGGUGAGGGGCUGGUACAUCCUGGAGCUGCGGAGCUGGGCGUUGUACUCCUGGAGCCUCUGCAUUUCCUCCGGGUUCUUCCGGAGGUCGGACAGCUUGAUCUCGGAGUAGUGGUAGUUGGUGGCCCAAGAGAUGUUUUUGGAAUACUUGGGCUUGCCCGUUUGGUACCCCGUCAAGAGGAUGAUCUUAGACGGCUGCACCACAAAGACGGACAGGAUGAAGGCGCAGAUGGAGGCGAAGAGCCAGUCUAUCGACUUGCUGAAGCCGUACGUCAGCCCGUAAAACACAAUGAAGAAGGAGGAGAUGCUCGAAGUGGCGAAAACCAGGAACCAGGCGACAUACACACACCACCAGGGCAGGACGAUCCGGGGCUUCUCUUUGAAGGGCUCGAUGCCCGGCAGCUCGAGGGACUCCCCGGAAGCGGCCGUCUGAUCGUCGCCCGCGUUCGGGUUGUUGGUGUUCCUGUUCUUCUCUUGGGCGCGCGGGGCCUGGCUUUCUGCUGGCUUGGCCUUGGACCGCGUUUUAGAGGUCGCCUUGGUGGGAGCCUUGCGAAGCCCCCGGGUCUUCCUCUUGAGCCGGUGCUUCCUGGGCGCCCGCACGCGUUCCUUGUCAACUUCCUGCGCGUGCCACUUCUUGAGCCGCUCCUCCCAGUGCCCGCUCGUGGACGUGAAGACGUGCUCCUGGGGCGAGACCUCCUCCAGGCUCACCUGGGGCCGCCUCUGGGAGUAGAAGAAGAGGAAGGUGAUCAGCACCUGCACGGGCACGGUGAUCAGGGCACUUUCCAAGCCGAUCAUCAUGGACCGGAUGAGCCGCACCCCCGGCGCCCCGGGCGCGUCCUUCUCCUCGUCCACGUUGAAGAACAUGAUGUUGCACAGCAGCGAGGACAGCAGCAUCGCCAAGCAGCAGGACAGUCGCUGCAGCCUAUUGAACGGCUUGGAGAUGACGCCCGAGAAGACGGAGAACCAUAUGUGGCUCUUCCCCAGCUUGUAACUCAGAUCGAUGAGGAAAAAGUCCCUCCUGGCGAGAGGCGUAUCCGGGAGCGUUACAGGAAAGGUUCUGUCCAGAGAGGUGUCCACGGAGAGCCACUCCCGGCACAGGAAGAGCCAGAUGCGUCUCCGGAAGAGGUUCUCCACCUUGACUCGACUCAGAUACCAGCUGGGGGAUCGGCCCUCGUUGUUGUGCCACACGCGGAUGGCCUGGAUGUCCCCCAGGUCGCUCUUCGUCGUCAGGAGGAAUGUGCUGAUGCUGCCGCGGUAGAGCGUGGUGAACUUCGGGUGGCUCAGGCAGUGCACGUCGCUGCUGCCUUCCGUCCCCUGCAGUUGGAUGAAGACGUCGGCCCUGGUCCCGGACCCGCAGCGGCUGCCGGUGAACACCGUGACGAGGUAGCACACGUCAUCGUAAGGGUCGUUGUCCGGCAGCACCACCACGUGCUCCCGCAGCAGCUCGUCCAUCUCGUCCCUGUGCAGGGCCCAGAAGGCCAGGAUGAUGUACAGGAGCGUGAUGAAGAGGACAGUCAGGAGGGUCACGGGGUUCCACAUCACCUUCCGGAUGGUGUCCAGCCGCAGGUCCACGGGGUUGGGGACCACAAUCACCCUGGCCGCCACGUAGUAGGUGUGCAUCGGCAGGCUGCUCAGGUCUGUGAGGCCCAGCUGCCGCUUGGCCCGCCGGGGCGUCCUGCAGAUGCAGUGGAUCUUGUCCCAGCUGCUCUUCUCGCCGAGGUCACAGGUGUCCUCCCGCCAGUCGCUCUGGACCCCGUACAUGUCCAGACACUGGAUGCUGAACAGAGCGAUGCUCACCAGCUUGUCCGUGGGCUUCAAGACGAAACGCGGCGCCUCCAGAACCAUGGUGACGGUACACUCGGGCGAGUCGCCGGCCCGCCGGGCCAGGACGCUCAGCAGGGACGGGGACAGGCAGAGCACGCGGGCCGUCCUCACGGUGCAGGCCGAGUCAAACAGGUCGCUGUGGUUGGCGAUCGGAGGGAGCUCGUGGGGCACGAGGAAGGUGGCGACCAAGGCGUCGGGCGCCAUCUGCCGGCCGGCGUACACCAGCACCGUGAGCAGGAGCGUCACCUCUGUCACGAUGUGCACCAGCACCUCCUUCCUCGUCUGGCUGUCCACCGGGAAGCAGAACGCCCCCGUCGUCUUUCUCGACGCCGCGUCCCCGGUGCCGGGCUCCUGGCUGGAUCCCACCAUGAGGGCAAAGGCCCCGAAGGUCAAGUUCCUGCGGAGGAGGUGCACCUCCGCCACGUCGGGCGUGAUGUCCGUCACGGCGCCGGAGGCCUCGGCGCCCGUCAGGCGGAAGCCCACCACCUCCGUCAGGGAGCUCGCCUGAUACUUCAGCCACGGGAAGGGGUCGUCGGCGAACUCACAGAACAUGGUAGAGAUGGGCGCGCGGGCGGGCAAACUGGGAGCGCUGUUCACGUCCAGGGUCGGGUAGAAACAGUUACUGCGACAGUGUCGCUGGCCGCUGAAGAACUUGGUGACGUUCCACUUCUCCGUCUUCUUGAGGUACAUGUUGAAGUUGGAGGUCCUCAGGCCGUGGUCUCGUUCUCGGGCACUUUGACCGCCAGCACCGUGUCUGCCAGGGCCUCCACCACGUGGAAAGGCUCUUCCUCCACCUGGUGACGCGUGGUCUGCCUCAGGACGUUGGAGAGACUCGUCAGGAUCCCCGUGCUCACGGUCUCCACCUGCUCGGAGGAAACGCGCCGGUCCCGCGCGUGACACUGCUGCAGCGCUCGGCUCGCCUGCCAGACCCUCACCAUGGCCAGCUUGCGCGCCAUGGGGGUGAACUCCGAGGUCUUCUGGGUUAACUUGGUCACACACAUGACCACCUGGCUAAUCUCCACCAGCGUGGUGAUGGGCAGAGCGAAGGUCUGAUUGAAGAGGUACUCCUGGAGUCUGGUCUUGUUCGCCUCCAGAGGUGGUUCCGGCUUCAGGCUGUUCAAGACAGAAGCUACGACGUAUAUCAG
rnacentral:lncRNA from 1 species